AAAUUGAAGAGUUUGAUCAUGGCUCAGAUUGAACGCUGGCGGCAGGCCUAACACAUGCAAGUCGAACGGUAACAGGAAGCAGCUUGCUGCUUCGCUGACGAGUGGCGGACGGGUGAGUAAUGUCUGGGAAACUGCCUGAUGGAGGGGGAUAACUACUGGAAACGGUAGCUAAUACCGCAUAACGUCGCAAGACCAAAGAGGGGGACCUUCGGGCCUCUUGCCAUCGGAUGUGCCCAGAUGGGAUUAGCUUGUUGGUGGGGUAACGGCUCACCAAGGCGACGAUCCCUAGCUGGUCUGAGAGGAUGACCAGCCACACUGGAACUGAGACACGGUCCAGACUCCUACGGGAGGCAGCAGUGGGGAAUAUUGCACAAUGGGCGCAAGCCUGAUGCAGCCAUGCCGCGUGUAUGAAGAAGGCCUUCGGGUUGUAAAGUACUUUCAGCGGGGAGGAAGGGAGUAAAGUUAAUACCUUUGCUCAUUGACGUUACCCGCAGAAGAAGCACCGGCUAACUCCGUGCCAGCAGCCGCGGUAAUACGGAGGGUGCAAGCGUUAAUCGGAAUUACUGGGCGUAAAGCGCACGCAGGCGGUUUGUUAAGUCAGAUGUGAAAUCCCCGGGCUCAACCUGGGAACUGCAUCUGAUACUGGCAAGCUUGAGUCUCGUAGAGGGGGGUAGAAUUCCAGGUGUAGCGGUGAAAUGCGUAGAGAUCUGGAGGAAUACCGGUGGCGAAGGCGGCCCCCUGGACGAAGACUGACGCUCAGGUGCGAAAGCGUGGGGAGCAAACAGGAUUAGAUACCCUGGUAGUCCACGCCGUAAACGAUGUCGACUUGGAGGUUGUGCCCUUGAGGCGUGGCUUCCGGAGCUAACGCGUUAAGUCGACCGCCUGGGGAGUACGGCCGCAAGGUUAAAACUCAAAUGAAUUGACGGGGGCCCGCACAAGCGGUGGAGCAUGUGGUUUAAUUCGAUGCAACGCGAAGAACCUUACCUGGUCUUGACAUCCACGGAAGUUUUCAGAGAUGAGAAUGUGCCUUCGGGAACCGUGAGACAGGUGCUGCAUGGCUGUCGUCAGCUCGUGUUGUGAAAUGUUGGGUUAAGUCCCGCAACGAGCGCAACCCUUAUCCUUUGUUGCCAGCGGUCCGGCCGGGAACUCAAAGGAGACUGCCAGUGAUAAACUGGAGGAAGGUGGGGAUGACGUCAAGUCAUCAUGGCCCUUACGACCAGGGCUACACACGUGCUACAAUGGCGCAUACAAAGAGAAGCGACCUCGCGAGAGCAAGCGGACCUCAUAAAGUGCGUCGUAGUCCGGAUUGGAGUCUGCAACUCGACUCCAUGAAGUCGGAAUCGCUAGUAAUCGUGGAUCAGAAUGCCACGGUGAAUACGUUCCCGGGCCUUGUACACACCGCCCGUCACACCAUGGGAGUGGGUUGCAAAAGAAGUAGGUAGCUUAACCUUCGGGAGGGCGCUUACCACUUUGUGAUUCAUGACUGGGGUGAAGUCGUAACAAGGUAACCGUAGGGGAACCUGCGGUUGGAUCACCUCCUU
rnacentral:rRNA from 1 species